UUGUAGAUGUUAAAAGCAAGAGACAUGGGAGAUCAUCAUUCCCUUGAGAUUUUAUAACUCAAACCAACUUUGGAGUUGUCUGAUUUGGAGAGUCAUUAUUCUUGGUCUGCGCUCUUAGAGGCCACUGAUGAAGAGCAGGCGGUGACUGGGAUGAAUGCUGGUCAGAGAGGAGAAUCUUCUUUCCCCUAAACUGAUGCAGCGGUGGUUUUAAAGGAGGACGCUGCCCUGGAUGAUGUAGAAGAUGUCACAUGCUGUGCUGAUGGGGUUUCUUCAUGAUUACAUCAGUUAUGCUAAAGAGAUCAUGAAAAUUGACCGUGAUGCAUGAUCUGUAUUCAUGGACUAUGAAACAAACUGUAAGUGUAUAAUUUGUUAAAAAAAAAAAGUUAAAUGCUUUUUCUGUGUUGUUUAGUAGAAAAGUUUACACUCUGUCAUUCAUACACCUGCUCACAUUCUUUCACACACACACACACACACAUGCGUCUGUUAAAGGUUAUAAUAUCAAAGUUAAUGUUGUGAUUUAUUUGUGUACUGUCAUGCCAGAAUAGUUGGAAAAAAAACUAACUAAUUGUAAAUUUUUAUUGUAUGUGUUUUCGUAUAUUUUUAUACAAUAUAUACAAUUGAACAAAGUCCAAUUUGAUCUUAAGUUAUAUUCAUCAAAUGUUCAAUGCUUUGUUUAUGAACUCUGUAGCUGUUAAUGCCAUCCUUUUCUGCAUUUCUUCUAACAUGUUACUUUUUGACUUUUCUCUUGUUUUUAAUAAAUAUUUUCC